rnacentral:lncRNA from 1 species
GAUGAUCUUUCUUAAUCAGUCUCUAAUGUCUUCCUUCCAAUUUCUUGCAUUGUAAUGAUCUUGUUGCACUGGAUCUCUAAUUCCAGAGUGAUCUCUCAAAAGCCUUUGAUGGAGGCGCUAGGAACCUGAGAGCAGUGACUUGCUUUGAAGUGGCUGGGUGAUGGUCUCAGAGGGACAUAGAAUAGGGGCAGAAGUAACUGGGCUAAGCUGGCUUCCGGGACAGAGGAAGGUAAUCAGUAUACAGAUGUUUCAUCAAAAAACACUGAAUGCUGUACACUGACCAUAUGCUUCUGCAACUGUGCUCCUAAGGGUCCCUGAUUUAGAAUAAGCACUCCUG